rnacentral:lncRNA from 10 species
GGUGGCGCUUUCAAGAGAGCAUAAACUGCGGUAGUGUAGGGAGGAUACAAGCUUGCCGUAGAGUUGCCUGGAUAAGUUUCUCAGACAGUGGGCAGGGCCAUAGCGCUCCCAACAGACUUUGUCCUUUGUCUUCAGCUACGAGGGGAGUCUACCUACUGAAAGGGGGCCCAGUGGACAUGGAACUCUAAGAUAAGGCAUUCUUCCUGGGCAGCAGUGAGUAUAGAGACAAGUUCUCACUAUUUUGCCCAGGCUGGUCUUCAACUUCCAGGCUCAAGUGAUCUUCCUGCCUUGGCCUCCCAAAAUGCUGGGAUUACAGGUAUGAGCCACCAUGACUGGCCUAGGUAUUUUAAAAGUAAAAAAAAAAAGCUCCUUUUCUAGCAGGUGAUCAGGCAGACACCUCUUCUAUUGAAAUACUACACAAGGAGCUGCCAGUGUAUUUUAAAGCAGGAUCAAAUGAAAAGAUUCAGAUAAGCAAAGGCCUGUGGGGGAAGUAAGGCAGGGAGUAAUAUAAAUCUCACGUGCAGUUAGAACAGUGGAUUCUCAGUGGGUUGGAGCAGAAAUUCCAAUCAUUAGAAGUUUUUCCGGGUUUACAGAUCCAAUCAUGUGUCAAGGACAUGGAUCACAAUAUGGCUGAGGUGGUAGGCACCCAUCUGGGUGAAAUCCCAGGCUAUUUUCUUAGUUGUAUUCAAGGGUCUUAUGGCCAUAGUCUCUUCUACACUCUUGAGUGAAGGGUCAUUCUUGUCUUCCAGGAACAGUUGGCCUUUUUGGAUGAAGGUGUGAUUACUGGAAAGGAGUACUGCCAGGUGAUAAAGUAAGAAGACAAAGAUGCAGACAAUCAAAAGCAGCCACAUCAGUCUGGUGAUGGGCAAGGGAACACGUGUCAAAGCCAGCUGACCUUUACAUACAUCACGGCUAACUAGAAAACCAUUUGGUGACUUGCUAGUUCCUCGAACUUCUGGGAAAGAGAAUGGUGUUAUAGGUGAGAAUGACAAUACAACUUUGUGUAUUGUCUGGACCCCAAUUUAUAAUGGAUCCUUCUGGUAAGAUCUGUUCAGAACAUUUUCAACUGCUUGAUACCCUACUUUUAAUCAAUUAGUAUCUUGAGCAUCAGUUUUCCUCUUCUUCAGUCCCUAAAUUCACUGAAUUUUCUGAGAUCACACAUUCAAUUCUCAUUGACAUUCUGUACCAUUAGCCAAGGUCUUCAGAAAAUUUAGAUGAGGGCAAAAACAUCACAUAUAAAUGAACAGUGUUUUAGGUCUCUGAUCUUUAUAUAUCACUGAAAACUAGGUGAUGGAUUUGCAAUCCCCAUGGCAUUUAUCUGUCAGUUCUUAAUAGAAUCACUACAUUGCUUCCAUAUGCUCAGUUAUUACACUUCCUCUGUUUCAUUUUGGCCCAUCUCCAUGCUCUGUGACUAUCUAGUGACUUUCCAG